rnacentral:rRNA from 1 species
AUUGAACGCUGGCGGCAGGCCUAACACAUGCAAGUCGAACGAGUGGCGGACGGGUGAGUACUGUCUGGGAAACUGCCUGAUGGAGGGGGAUAACUACUUGAAACGGUAGCUAAUACCGCAUACCAUCAGAUGUGCCCAGAUGGGAUUAGCUAGUUGGGGGGGUAACGGCUCACCAAGGCGACGAUACCUAGCUGGUCUGAGAGGAUGACAAGCCACACGGGAACUGAGACACGGUCCAGACUCCUACGGGAGGAAGCAGUGGGGAAUAUUGCAGAAUGGGCGCAAGCCUGAUGCAGUCAUGCCGCGGGUAUGAAGAAGGCCUUCGGGUGGUAAAGUACUUUCAGCGGGGAGGCGUUACCCGCAGAAGAAGCACCGGCUAACUCCGUGCCAGCAGCCGCGGUAAUAC